rnacentral:rRNA from 1 species
CCUACGGGGGGCAGCAGUGAGGAAUAUUGGUCAAUGGUCGGGAGACUGAACCAGCCAAGCCGCGUGAGGGAGGAAGGUACAGAGUAUCGUAAACCUCUUUUGUCAGGGAACAAAGACUGGGACGCGUCCCCGGAUGAAUGUACCUGAAGAAAAAGCAUCGGCUAACUCCGUGCCAGCAGCCGUAAUACGGAGGAUGCGAGCGUUAUCCGGAUUUAUUGGGUUUAAAGGGUGCGCAGGCGGUCUGUUAAGUCAGCGGUCAAAGCCCGGGGCUCAACCCCGGCCCGCCGUUGAAACUGGCAGUCUCG